rnacentral:rRNA from 1 species
UACGUAGGGUGCAAGCGUUGUCCGGAAUUAUUGGGCGUAAAGGGCUCGUAGGCGGUCCAUCGCGUCGGGAGUGAAAAGCUGGGGCUUAACCCCAGUCCUGCUUCCGAUACGGGUCGACUAGAGGUAGGUAGGGGAGAACGGAAUUCCUGGUGUAGCGGUGAAAUGCGUAGAUAUCAGGAGGAACACCUGCGGUGUAGACAGCUUACUGGACCACUUCUGACGCUGAGACACGAAAGCGUGGGUAGCAAACAGG